rnacentral:sRNA from 1 species
AGUGAAUUUCAUUUGCAGUGAAAAUCCUUUUAUUUUUUCUUUAAAAAAUAAAAGAUUGUUGCGUAAAGUCCCAACCGAA